AACUGAAGUAUGGACACCUCACUCAGGAAAUCCAGUAACUGAAGAAGUAAGGACACCUUACUCAGUAAAUCCUGUAACUGAAGUAGUAUGGACACCUCACUCAG
rnacentral:lncRNA from 1 species